GACGAACGCUGGCGGCGUGCCUAAUACAUGCAAGUAGAAGCUAGUUGCGCACGGGUGAGUAACGCGUAGGAACCUGCCUCAUAGCGGGGGAUAACUACGCGAAAGCGUAGCUAAUACCGCAUACUAUUGGAGCGGCCGAUAUCGGAUUAGCUAGUUGGUGGGGUAACGGCUCACCAAGGCGACGAUCCGUAGCCGGUUUGAGAGGACGACCAGCCACACGGGGACUGGGACACGGCCCAGACUCCUACGGGAGGCAGCAGUGGGGAAUUUUGGAAAAUGGGGGAAACCCUGAUCCGGCCAUCCCGCGUGUGGGAUGAAGGCCUUCGGGUGGGAAAGCACUUUUGGCAGGAAAGCGGUACCUGCAGAAUAAGCACCGGCUAACUACGUGCCAGCAGCCGCGGUAAUAC
rnacentral:rRNA from 1 species